rnacentral:antisense_RNA from 1 species
GAGGCUGGUGAGCCAGGCAGAAGUCAGAGCAGGAGGAGCCUUGAGGUCUCUCCAGGAGAUUCAGGGACCAUAGGAUUUGGUAGUGAUUCAGCUGUAGAGUGAAAAGAUGACAGUGGCCAUAUCCAGGGUAAUGUCUACGGGAAUUUGUGAAUAUCCAGAUAUCCAGAUAAGAGAGGAUGAUGGCCCUAACUCGAGUACCAAAAUUGGAUUUCCUUAGUGUCUGGCUGGGGUGUCCUGUAGAGAGAAAUGCUGUCUUCUGGGACCACAGCCUUGAGCUUGGGGGUCCCUGCCAGCAUCCAGGCGCCCAGGAGAAAAUCCUGACAAACAGGAGUCACGAUCAGGAGACAUGUCUGCUAUCUGGGUAAGUGAUGGUGUGUGUGGUACACGUAACCAGGGAACUCCAGUGGCACUGUGCAUCACAGGAGUAACUAAGGUGGAUUUGCAGAGAAGACGGCCAGAGAAAAUGAAGUGUCCUAUGAUGUCCUACCCCUUAGAGGCACCACAAGCAUCCAGAAGUCAAGGGAACCCUCAUUAUGCUCGAGCAGGGGGACUCUGCCCGUCUCCACAGAGGAGACAGUAUGGGUGUAAGCAGGCCAUGGACGAUCCAGUCUUCUGAUACACAGGAUAAUGUGCCUUGAACCUGAGUCCAUGUCGACUGUGGUAGAUGCGGGUGUCCAGGUACGCCAAGUGGCAUCCCGGAAAACACCUGUCAGAUGCAUUUCUUCUGCUGCUGCUAGUCAUGAGAUCAAGAUUCCUGCCAUGACAUCACAGUGAAUCCAACAUGGGUCCCUAUCAGGAAGCAGGGCUGCUCUGCAAGUCAAGGCUGCAUGAGGACCCAAAGCAACACAUGGGCCACUUGAAGUUCAGGUGUAUAGGUUUUCCAGGGUCCCACAAGGAAAUCCCGAUAAACAGGAGUCAGGAUCAGGGAACAUGUCUGCUAUCUGGAUUCAGGCAGGCAGAAGUCAGAGCAUGAGGACAGCAUUGAGGUCUCUCCAGGCGAUUUAUGGACUCUCGGAUUUGGUAGUGAUUCAGUAUUAUUUUCUUUUUUUGAGAGUCUGGCUGAGGUAUUGCUGAUGCACGCAUAAACCACAGCACGCACCGUGGGACUGUCCCAGGGACCUGGUUCACUGAUGAGAUGUCCCCACAUGUCUUCCCGCCGUGAUUUCUUUCACAGAUGACCAGAAUGGAUCCUAUAGUAUAAUCACACAGGAUAAUGUUGGAAAAUAUGAACUGUAACCUGGCAGAUCUGACUGUUGUUGCUGCAGCUUCUGUUCCUGCUGAUGCUGUUCAAAAUAGUCCUCUUUUAUUUUCUUCGGCUGUUCUGAAGCAGGAGUUACACAUGAUGUCUUUGGAAGAUCUUGCGAUGUGUUUCCAGAACUACCUUGCAUGCUUAGCUCAAUAGCCCUGCGGAGGUCUUCAUCUUCUCUAUUGGUUUCUUGGCGGCUUAGUUCAAGGGUCCUCUGAAAAUCCUCGUCAUCUUGGUCUGAUGUUCCAGACUCAUCACUUUCUUCUGACACUUUUUCAAGGACUGUUUUAUAGACUCUGUGCUCUUUUUCUUUUACUGAUUUUUUUCCAUUAAGUUUUGGUGUAUCCAUCUCUUCGACACUGAUGAUCUGCAGGAGUUGGUCAGCUUCACAGUCUGGCAGAUCACCCUUGACAACAAAUACAGAAUAUGCUUGUUGUUGUAAUCGAGCCAAGAAAUUUGCAAGGAUCAAUGCCGAGCUUCUGAUAUUCAGGAUUAUUGAAAUGGAUGAUCUCUAAACCCCAGAACUUCAAGGCAUUGCUUAUUACCUGAAUGGAGAAGAAACCGGUAUCAUCCAUGUUUUCUGAAGGCUGCUGUAAAAAUGCGAGAUACUCUUCACUGGUGACUCCUCCUUCUGCCAUUCUCAUCCUCUCUUCUUCAUCUAGCUGAUGUGCAAUUGAGGCUAAUUCCACAGGGCUAAAAUAUUCUCCUUGCAAUAGAUUGUUCAGACAGUGCUGAGCACACAAGAAACCUUCCUGUUUCUCAUGAAAGAUGAAAUCCA